AAAAAUAAUUCGUUCUGCGUCUGAGUUUUCUCGAAAGAAAAAACUGCGCUUUGAGGACUACGAUCGGGUCUUGAUCCUCCAUCGCUGUUUUCACCCUCAAAUUUGAUGGAAUCUCUUAAGAGAAUUCGAGCGAUUUAUAUUUGGAGUUUUAGAGGGUUCUUGAAUUAAAAUUUAUGGAGAGGAGACAUUAGGGUUCUUGAAGAUCAGGUUGUGUGAAGCGCGAUUAUAAAAGAGAAUUUUGAAACUCAAUAAGUUUUUUUUAUUUUUAGAAGUAGAAGAAGAGAAUUUUGAAGAGAAAUUUUAAGGGCCAAUUAUAUAUAAGUCCAUUUUGAGACAUUUUUUCCCACAUAGAUCCACCCCAACAUUUUUACCCACAUAAAUCCACCCAAGUCUAAAUAAGGUUUUGUAUUAAGUAUUGAAGUUCAACAUAAUUACAGACUGCCAUCCAACAAAAAAAAAGAUUUUCUCCUUUAUAUUUACAAGAAUGCCACUAGUAUAAAAAGUCAACAACCACUCAUUUCGGAACAGUCUCCGGUGGACCUCCGGCGAGGUUUCCGGCGGACCUCCGGGGAGGUUUCCGGCCGACCUCCGGCGAGGUUUCCGGCCGCCCUCCGGCGAGAUUUCCGACCGACCUCCGGCGAGGUUUCUGUCCGACCUCCGACGAUGACAAAAAUUACUACUACCAGCUAUAAAAGCUACUACUACCAGCUACAAAAGCUACUACCACCGCCUACAAAAGAUACUACUGUGAGGUUUCUGAUGAACACAAAAGCUACUACCACCAGCCACAAAAACUACUACCACAAGCUACAAAAGCUACUACCACCGCCUACAAAAGCUACUGCUGUGAGGUUUCCGACGAACACAAAAACUACUACCACCAGCUACAAAAGCUACUACCACUGCCUACAAAAGCUACUACCGAGAUAAACAAAAGCUACCACCAACAUAACAAAAGCUAGCUACUACCCCUAUAUACAAAAGCUACCGCCACAACAAAAGUUAUUACCGACAUAAACAAAAGCUACUACCCCUAUAUACAAAAACUACUACUGCCAGACAUAAAAGCUAUUGCCUCCAUCAAUAUAAGCUACUACCGUUACCAACAAAAAUUACUACUCUAACUAACAAAAGCUACUACUUUCACUGACAAAAACUACUACAAGAUAUUUACUACUGUUUGAACUCUCACAAUCUUCACCUCCACUUGAUUUCCUGCAAUUCGAAUCAAAAUCACGAUCCGUCAACACAUAUGCAAAUCACACUCACAUAUCUCGUGUUCGGAUUUACAGAAUCGUAGAGAGAAACAAAAAUUAAAAGAAAGAACUGCAUUACCUCUGUGAGAUCUAAAGAAUUAGAAGCAGAUCGAGAUUGAUUUGACUCCGGCGAUCUUGACGUCGAGAGGUCGUAACUCCAGACGACGAGGACGAUCAUUUGCGCACCACCACGUAAUCAAACAGUGUGUUCCUUCAACACCUUUUUCAGAGUUCUGACCUCCAUCCAAUCCUUGACGUGUUGCAGAUCGACGCCAGAGAAGCAGAUCGAUGUCGGUGUAGCAAAAUCGACGUCGGAGAUAUAGGCCUCGGNNNNNNNNNNNNNNNNNNNNUUUUUCCUCAGUUAUGGGUCGUUCCUAAUUGAACUAUUGGGCCAGGUCUAGGUUGGCUGGUUCGGGAUCGACCCAAAGAGUGUCUGGAGUUUGGACCAAGGUUCCCGGGUACAGACAGACUAAUCUCUAGGUACAGGCAUACGCUGGUCACAAAUAGGUAGAAAUUGAGACUCGAACACUAGGCAUAGGGAUUCCAUAUUAGGGCGGUCUCAACCAACCUCCCAACUUUUUUGUCAUAUCUCUACUAUAAUAAAACCAACAAUCAAGAAAUUCGCUAAAUUAUGAACGAACCUAAUUUCUCUUAAUGAGCCAAUUGAAACAAAUAAAAACAAGAGAAAUUUUAUUAACACGUCUCUAAAUGCUAGAUACACAUUUCUUUUUUGAGAAAUUUUAAAUACACACCCCUAAUAUCUUAAUACACACCCCUUACUUAAUACACCACCUAUCAAGUUUUUCAUUUCAGUAUUAUACUUAAUACACAUCCCAAACUGCCUAAAAUGCCCUUAAUUUAUGAAAUAUUCUAUUAUUUAAUAUAAUUAAUGUAUAUUUACCAUUUGGUACCUCUUUUUACAUAUUAUUUCGUCUAAUUUUUGCUAGAAAUUUUUUGUUAUCAUCAUUCAAUUUAUAAUCAAAUGAUUAUUGUUAUAUCCCAACUCCAAAUCACCAAUACAAGUUUUCAAAAUUCACAAGCUAGUAGAACUGUAGAAGUACAGUAGAUAUUGAACAUAGAUAGCUAGUUAUUCGAUAAAACAUGUCAUGAUAAAAUGCAGCACUUGACAAUAUGAUAUGCAAGAUCAAACUAAAGCUGAUACAGAUACAAAAAAAAAAAAAAACAACUCAAAUGAAUUGUGGAGAAGAGUUGGGUUAGGGGAGAAGACAUGCUUUCGACGAUUUUAGGGUAGAAGACGUUGAAAAAAGAAUACUUCUAGAGCUAUUUUUUUUUUUUUUAAUAAUAGAUGUAUGUUUUGGUCAUUUAACUUACCUAUAAAAAUCUCAAUAGAAACAUAAAAUAAUAAAGGUGUGUAUUAAGAUAUUAAGGGUGUGUAUUUAAAAUUUCUUAAUUUUGAAACUCAUAAGUUGCUGAAGAGAAAAAUCAAAAGAAGUUUCCAUAAGUAUAUACUUCCACACUGAUGUCCAUCGUGCAAUAUCUUUUUGAAAUUAAUUCGAGAUCAUUUUUCUUCUUGAAGAGAACAAGUUGAUUCGACAAGUUUCGAAAAGAUAAUAAUUAAGGUUUUUAAACGGAAAUAAUCUUCUUGAUUAAAAUAAAAUAAAAUUAUUUUGAUAGAUUUAAAAAAAAAAAUCCAGUUCACAAACUGAUUUCCAGUCCUAUGGAUUUGAUGGAUUGCCGUCAAUCUCGAAUUAAUUAAUUCCAUAAUUUAAUCAUAAUUUGAUGGAUUUGAUCGCUUUCUCUCUCAAUUUCAAUUUCUCGCGACCGUUGCUCAAUGCUUUUACACCAAUUUAAAAUAGUUAAUAAUAAUGAGAGUUGAUUGGCACAGUAGAAUCCCACUAUUAAAAAAUAUUUAUUUUUUCUUCUUUGAUAGGAAGUUUGAGACUAUAAACAUUGUGUUUAGAUACGGAGAAAUUCUCUGUAAUUUAAUUGAAAGUAAAGAUUUUAUAAUUCUGAGAAGCCAAUUCUCUAAUUUGGCAUUAUUAUAUAGAGAAUUUUAAAUUUUGAUUGGAAUUGAAAACAAAGGAAUUCAUUGACUAAAUUCCUCACUUGAAUUCCACCAAAAAUAAAUGUUAUUUACAAAUUCUAUUGCGGGAUUCAAUUUUUAUUUCCAGAACAAGGCUUUUUAAAAUUUUAUUUUUUAUAUUUAUUUUAAACUUUCUUAAUCUAUCACACAUUUCAAAUCCCAAAAAUACUUAACCAAACAAUGAAAAUUACAAUUAACGGAAUUUCAAUUGAUAGAUAUUUAAAUUCUAUUAUUUCAUAAUUACUCAAGAAUUAAGAAAACUCUCAUCCAAACGCAGGGUAAAAGUAGCGAACUGAAAUUUACACUCCUAAUUUUUCAAUCCAUACUCUCAUUUUUAUUUUUUGGUAAUUUAAAUUUUAUUUUUAGUGACAUGUGUUUUAUCUUUUUGUGAAAAUUUUACCCAAAAAAAAAAAUGUGGGAGUGUGAAUCAGAAAAUAGGGAGUGAAAUUAUUUCUAACAUACUAUUGAAAAUCUAUUUUGCUCACGUUUUUGGAAAGUAGGGUUUGCGGAGGGUUUGCGGAGGGCCGGAGGCGAUUAGGAAAAACAAAUUUGGGGACAAAUUUUUACUUUAAAUAGAACGAGAAAAAGAGGGAAGGUAAUAGCAGCGUACUCUCUCUCUCCCUUUUAUAUCACUUCCAGGGUUUUGAUCCUUUACCUCGAGUCACCAACAGUCAUGGCUACAGUCAACAUGUCCGGCGGGUCUUCUAAUGGUAACGAAUCCCUCAUUUACUGUUUUUAUGUGUUUCUCAUGCUGAAAUUCGAUCUAGUUGUUUGAUAAUGCUCUGGGUUUAUGCCUACAGGUGGGAAGGUAGAGAACAAUCCAGGAUACUUUAAGGUUAGUAUUUCACUUUUCUUAGCAACCAAGAGACUCUUGUUCCAGUUUUAACUGUUGCUCUCUAAAUUUUACUGUUGAUCUAAUUUUUCCGUGGACAGUUUGACGGUCGGCGCUCCUAUGUCUUGGAGACUCUGGACGAAGAGAACAGAGAGCGCAUCGAUAAACUUAGAAAGAUUCAGGUAUAUAUGGAGCUUGUAUUUUACAGUUGAUUUGUUUCAUUCACUCAACAUCACUUUGUUAUUUCACGGGUUCUGUAUCUUGCAGAGAGACCUUGAUGUUAUAAAGGCGGGGUUUCACAAUGAGAGAGCAAAUCUUGAAGCCAGCUUUCUGGAGUCUUGUGAACCUCUGUACCUCCAGGUAUGCGUUCUUAAUUGACUGCCAAUAUCAAUCUAUUGAAUGUCAUGUAUAUAGAUUAGUUAUUUAAUGAAUCUUGCAGAGAUACAAUAUUGUGAAUGGCGUGGUUGAAGAAGCUGGAAUCACUACUAAUGCUGCUGCACGAGCUACAUCAAUGAACCAGACCAAAAAACAGAAAGAAGGUACAUAUUAUCCUUGACCUUAGUUAUGUCUUACAAUAAAGAGUUUGUCACAAUUAUUAUGUGUUUCUGCAGGAGAAGGGGUGCCUAGUUUCUGGUUAUAUGCUCUGAAAGGAUGUGACGACGUAUAUGAUGAGGUUGUUAUCGCAUAACGUUUUUAACCAUGUAUCCCAUCCUUAAAUCCUUAAUGUUUGUAGUUGUAACUCAGUUGUUUACAUCUUGUCUCUUGGAAUCAGAUUAAGGAACAAGAUGAAGGAGCUCUCAAACAUCUUACGGACAUUAAGUGGUCCAAGAUACAAAAAGGAUUCAGGCUUGAAUUCCAUUUCAGCACUAAUCCCUUCUUUGAAAACCCUGUCUUGACCAAGACGUAUCACAUGACUGAUGAAGAUGGAUUCUUUAUAGAAUGCGCAAUAGGGUAAGUUUCUUGUUUUAUCCAUCUGUUACAAGGAAGGCAGGUGUUUGUAUUUACUUGACUGUAUUUUCUUUGGCACCUGAUGCUUUGUAGGACAGAGAUUAAAUGGCGUCCGGGAAAAUGCUUGACACAUAAGCUCGCCAAGGAAUCUGGGAAGGGAUCAAAGAAAGUCGAACCAAUGACUAUUGAGAGCUUCUUUGGCUUUUUCAGUCCACCUAACAUCCCAAAGAACCUGAAAGAUGAGAAAAAUCUUGUUGAGGUGAGUUUGUUGUCAGAAGGUCAUCUUUAUAUUUGCUUCCUUAUUUGAUUGUGUAUACACAUGAAUUUUCUUUUAAUUUGUUUUCCCCAACAGGUCAUAAAUCAGAAAUACGAUAUGGAAAUGGAUUUUUGCUUGGGGUGAGCUCAUAACUUGUGCUUUAGCCAUAGGCAGAACUUUGUAUUAGUUACGGUAAUGAUUGAGAUCUCAAUACAGAUAGAUUCUCUGAACUUCGCUUUUGGUCGAUGUAUUUAUUCUCAUGUAGGUUGACCAUUCGAGAUCAGAUCAUCCCAUGCGCCGUUACACAGUUUACAGGAAAGGCUGCACUGGAGGAUAAGACCAAAAUAUCUGCGCAGCACUCCAAUUUCCUUGACAAUCUAGGAAAAAAUGCCAGAAAAUGUGUUGAAAGUCUUAGACUAAUCCAGGUACUAUUUUCCAUUGCUCUGAAAUUUAUAGUUGUUGUAUGGGAUAUUGUAUUAUUCAAUUUGAUAUGUUUCCACGCUUUAUUAUUUUCAGUUGAGAUUGCACUCCAAAUUAGUAAUCAACAACUUGCUUAACAACUUUGUUUUAUUCAUUUGAUCCAUUUUAUUAAACAGAUAUAGUUCUUGUGAUGUGUUUACUGCAAGUUCUUGACGAUUCGCCCCAUUAUUAUUCUAUGAUCAUUUUAUAAAAGUUUGCAUUUGAUGUACAUAACUUGAUGCUUUCUCAACUUGAAGGAAAAACUUGAUGCAUUGACAGCAGAAUUUGACGAGAAUACAGCAUCAGUUCAAGCAAAAUAUCUUCAAUCAUGUGAACAUUUGUAUCUACAGGUAUAUAGACAAUUUGUACAAUGUAUCAAUCUGUGUAUCAUCUCUCCAUCAUUUUUUCUGUUAGAUGACGAUAAUUGUCACUCCACUUCACAGCGACACAAUAUCGUAAAUGAUCCUGAAGCAGAUGGAGUUGGCAGUGAUUAUGAAGAUGAAGCAUAUAUAUAUGGUACGUUUUUGAUACUUGUAUAUCUAUAAACUUUACCAUUUUGUUAAUUAUUUCAUGACUGUUUAUUGUCCUGUUAUGUAUUUUGGCAGGGAAAGGGGUGCCUUACUUCUGGCUCAAUGCUUUGCAAAACAAUGACUACAUAGAAAAUGAGGUAGGUGUUGGAUGCAUACUGUUUCUCAUUUCCAUUGUUUACUUACUUGUGAAUUGAAUCCUUCUUUGUUUUCUCUCUUGUCUUCAAAAUUUAGAUUACUUAUCGUGAUGAACAAGCUCUAAAGUAUCUUAAAGACAUCAAGUCUUCCCCCAUUGAUGACUCCGAGGGCUUCAAACUUGACUUCUGCUUUAAAGCCAAUCCCUUCUUUGAAAAUUCUGUCUUGACCAAGACAUUCCUCAUGAGUGUUGAGAAUGAUAUAUCCCUAGUGAAAGAUAUAAAAGGGUGAGUUGGGUUUUUCUACCUUAUGCAAAGGCAUGUAUUGAUGUACAGUUAACAUGGUUUGUAUAUAUUGCCUACAGUUUGACGGGCACGUAUUGUUUUAUAGGACUGAGAUUGAAUGGUAUCCGGCAAGAUGCUUGACAACGAUACCUAUUAAGAAGAAACCUGAGACACAAUCAGAGGAUGCGAAAUCGAUCACUGUAACUGAAGAUUGUGACAGUUUCUUCUCUCUUUUUGGUGCACUUGAAGUGGUAGAUGAUGUAAGCUGGUUAUAUAUUGUCUUAAACUUGUAGUUUAGAAUUCGACUUUUCUCUAGUGUCUUAUAUGCUUCUCUUUCUUAGCAGAACUUCAAGCGUUCACGUCAGGCGGAACAUGAUUUUCAUAUUGGGUGAGUUCAUUGUCCUAAAGCGUAUGAUCUUUUACUUCUUUCUUAAUUCAGCUAUUGAUUGUUGGAUACUUGUUAACUUUGAGUACAUUUUUGACAUUGAUUUUGUGUAGGUUAAUUAUCCGAGAUCAGAUUAUUCCCCAUGCAGUUUCUUGGUUUACAGGGGAGGCUAUUGAGAACAGAGAUGACUUACAAGACGAUGAAGACCAAGACCAGUACCUUGGAUUUGAAGCAGAAUAUUAUGAUGAUAACGAAGAUGGCGAUGAUGAGUACGAAGACCUUGACCAUGGAUUAGGCUCUGAUGGAGACGACUCUGAUGAAGAAUACAUUGAUAAUUACAAUAGAACAUACAAUUAUUAUUAAGUCAUCAUAGAUGAAACCGAACAAAGUUAAAGAUUUCGAAACCCAGAGUGAGCAUGUUUGGUAUUUUAGUAUAUGGCAAGACAAGCUAGUAGCUUGUUGGCAGUUUAAGAAUGUUUUGAGAUGCCCACAUAUAUAUCAUGAGUUCAUGACUACAUUACAUUAAUACCUUUUACAUCUCCCUAUUUGGCAGCUUAAGAAUGUUUUGAGGUGCCCAUAAGAAUAAGGUAAGGGUUGGUGUAUCUGUUAGCUGUUGAAGUUAAUGCUUUCCUUAGUGAACAUAUUAGGAAGCAGCAAGAAAUAUUUAGCUACAGGGAAGCUGAAGUACUACAGUGACUCACUGCAGUGAGAUAUUUUCUCCCACUUAGUUUACCGUUUUCUCCUCACCUAAUAUAGAGAAUUUAUUGUAUGUAAAGUACAAUUAUAAUCUAGUUUAGAUGUUUCUAAGAUAUUUUAUAGGUUAUAUUGCACCCUAUAUAAGGGUAAUUUGUUAUGUAAUCCUUAAGAAGUCCAGAAGUAAGAAAUAGAAGCUGCAAAGUUUUGCUUCAAAGUUCAACUGAGUUUUCUUCUUCCUCAUUUGCUACAGCAAAUUGAUCUUGAUCAUAUUUUGUUCAAAAUACAAAAUAGAGGCUCAAAUUCUAACAUGGUAUCAGAGCCCUGUUGAUCAAUAUCAACUAGGGUAUGUACCAUCUGUUGGAUCAAAAAAAAAAAACAAAUAGUUUUCUGCUACUACAAUGACUACAUCAGAAAAUAGUUUAGAGGUUAGAGUUCCUAUCUUCUCAGGAGAGAACUUUGAUUUCUAGAUUAUUAAGAUGGAAACCAUGUUCAUAUCACGUGAUUUAUUGAGCUAUGUGAAUGAAGGCUAUAUAAUUCCAGCAGUUGAAGGGAUGACAAAUGCUCAAAGGACUGAGUUGAAGGAAAAUAUCAAGAAAGAUGCAAAAGCUCUUGGUAUUUUGCAAACCGCAGUCACAGAUGCUAUCUUUCCAAGAAUUGCAAAUGAGAGAACAGCCAAAGGAGCUUGGGAUGUUCUAAAGGUGGAGUUCAAAGGCUCAGAUAAUGUGAGAGCUGCAUGUUAAAGUUCAAUCUUUAAGGAGAGAUUUUGAAUAUACUAGAAUGAAUGAAACUGAGCUGUUAAGUGAUUAUUGCACUAGAUUGACUGAUUUAGUUAACCAAAUGAAAACAUAUACUUGAAAAGAGAGUAGUACAGAAGAUCCUUAUGAGUUUGAAUAGGAAGUAUGAUGCUAUAACAAGUAUUAUAGAGGAGACUAAGGAUAUAGACACUCUUGGUGUGCAAGAUUUAAUGGGGACACUUAAGGCUUUUGAUCAGAGGUUGAUGAGUCAUGAUGAACCAGCAAAAAAAGCCUUUCAAACACUAAGCCUAAACACAAAUAGUGAGCCAUCUAGUUCAAAUUCCAAAAAGAAAAAGAAUUGGAAAGGCAAAGGCAAGAAGUGGGAGGGUAGAUCAGAUCAGUCAGGAAAAAGAAAAAAUGAAGGAAGCAGUAGUUCAAAUUAUUCGAAGUGUUCAAUCUGUGAUAGGAUGCAUAUAAGUGAAUGUUGGUUUAAGGGGAAACGAAAAUGUUCAAUUGUAACAAGUUUGGUCAUGUCAAGAAGGAUUGUGACUACAAGGGAAAUAAACUGGCUAGCUGUAGUGAAGAACAAAGUGAUACUAGUAUGUUCUGUGUCACUUAUGAUGCAACCACUGCGGUGAAUGAGAAUGUAUGACUUGUUGAUAGUGCUUGCAGUAAUCAUAUGACUGCAAAUGCCAACCUUAUCUAUGACAUUGACUACAACAGCAUUACAACGGUGAAGAUGGCAAAUAGAAUGUUGGUGGAUACAAAAGGCAAAGGAAGUGUUGUUGUUGAAACCAAAAAUGGAAAAAUGUUCAUCAGAGAUGUAAUGCUUGUUCCAAAUCUUGAUUCAAAUUUGCAGAGUGUUGGACAACUCGUUGAGCACAAAUAUCACCUGCAUUUUGGUGAUGACACUUGCAAAAUCUUUGAGAGAGGGAAUAGCAAGAAGCUAAUGGUGGAAGUUGAAAUGAAGAGGAGCAUAAGUUUUCCUCUGACUCUCAUGUAUGCAACUGAGAAUGCAAGAAAAAUGGAGAUGCAGGAAGAUCCUUGGCUCUGGCAUCAAAGGCUUGGACAUGCAUUUGAAUUUUCAAAGUCUGAAGCUGCAGCAUCAGAAUGAAAUGGUGCAAGGAUUGCCAAAAAUUAAAGAAGUUACUGAAGUGUGUGAAGGAUGUGCACUUGGAAAGCAGCAUAUUAUCUUAUUUCCAAAAGGGAAGGCAUGGAGAGCAAAAACACCACUAGAGUUGGUCCAUUCUGAUGUCUGUGGUCCUAUGAAAACAAUUAUUAGGGGAGGUAACAGAUAUUUCCUUACAUUCAUUGAUUAUUGUUCAAGAAUGACUUGGGUUUAUUUUCUGAGGCAAAAAUCUGAUGUGUUCAUUGUGUUCAAGAAGUUUCAAGCUAUGGUAGAGAUAAUCUGAUCUCAAAAUCAAGAAGCUUAGAUCAGAUAGAGGUGGUGAAUACACAUCAAAUGAGUUUGGAGAUUUUUGUGCAUAUAUUGAUUUUUGUGCAUAUAAUCUGAAAAAGAAGAAAAUUGUUAUCUGCAAAGAUGUUCUCUUCAGUGAGAAUGCAUCUUGGGAUUGGAAUCAAGGUUCAUUCCUGCAACAAUGUGUGCCAGAUAAUGUUGUUCAAGAUGAAGAUGUUCCAGAAGAGUUAGAACUUAAUCCACCGCAACAAACUCCACCUCACAGUCUUGAACAACCCUCACCAGCACAUUCAAAUGCUCAAUCUACACCAAGCUCAACACAAAUAAGGAUGAGAAGCUUGAAUAAAGUGUAUGAAAGCUGUAAUGCAUGCUUAUUUGAGCUUGAAAGAUUUGAAGAAGCUGUGAAAGUAGAUGACUGGCGGACUGCAAUGAAAGAGGAAAUUGAUGUGAUUGUGAAAAACAACACAUGGGAGCUUGUUGAUAAACUAGACAACAAGGAUGUCAUUGGUUUGAAGUGGAUUUACAAAACCAAGCUAAAUGCAGAUGGUUCUGCGUAAAGAAACAAAGCAAGAUUGGUGGCAAAAGGGUAUUCACAGAUACCUGGAGUUGAUUUCAAUGAAACUUUUGCACAAGUUGCAAGACAUGAGACAAUCAGAGGUCUGAUUUCCAUUGCAGCACAAAAAGGUUUGUUUUUGCACCAGCUAGAUGUUAAAUCGGCGUUUCUAAAUGGAGUGUUGAAAGAAGAGGUAUUUGUGGAGCAACCACAAGGUUUCAUUAUCAAGGGUAAAGAGCAGAAAGUUUAUAAGCUGAAGGCUUCUUUAUGGUUUGAAACAAGCCCCAAGAGCUUAGUACGGUGAGAUCGAUUCCUAUUUCACAGAAAGAGGGUUUCAAAUGAGUGAAAAUGAACCUGCUCUCUACACCAAAACUGAAGGUAAAUCAAGCAUAUUUAUUGUCUCCUUAUAUGUUGAUGAUUUGGUAUUUAUUGGAAAUUGUGAAAAGAUGAUUUCAAAUUUCAAGUCUGAUAUGAUGAGGAAAUAUGAAAUGAGUGAUUUGGGAAUCUUGCAUUAUAUUCUAGGAAUUGUAAUUGUUCAAGCAACGGAGGGAAUCUUCAUUACUCAGAAGAAAUAUGCAAAGACAAUUCUAGAGAAGUUCAAAAUGCUUGGUUGCAAUGCUGUUGCAACACCUCUAGUUGUCAAUGAAAAAUUUUCAAAAGAAGAUGGAAGUGGUAAAGUUGAUGAGAGUUUAUACAGAAGUUUAGUGGGAAGUUUGCUUUACUUGACAGCAACAAGACCUGAUAUCAUGUAUGCUGCAAGUUUGAUGUCCAGAUUUAUGCACAAUCCUACCAAGAUUCACUAUGGAGCUGCAAGGAGAAUCCUUAGAUACAUUCAAGGUACAAUGGACUUUGGAAUUCUGUAUGAGAGGAAUGUGGAACCAAAACUCUUUGGCUUUUGUGAUAGUGAUUGGGGAGGAAGUGUUGAUGAUUUAAAAAGCACAUCUGGAUAUACUUUUACACUUGGAACUAGUGUAUUCUCCUGGGCUUCAAAGAAGUAAAAAUCAGUAGCCUUGUCUACAGCUGAAGCAAAGUAUGUAUCUGCAUCAAUAGCCACUUCAAAUUGCUCAAAAGAUUCAUUGAAGACUUUGGUGAGAAGCAAACAUCUGCAACAACUAUUCUCAAUGAUAACAAGUCUGUAAUUGCCAUGAGCAAGAACCCUGUAUAUCACAGUAGGGCAAAACAUAUUGUCUUGAAGUUUCACUACAUCAGAGAUGCAGUUGAGGAGAAUGAGAUUGAUCUGGUGUACUGUAAUACAGAUGACCAAGUUGCAGACAUCUUCACCAAAGCUCUACCAAGAGAGAGGUUUGAAUACCUUAGAGGCCUGCUAGGAGUGCAUAAGCAAAGCAUUAAGAGGGAGUGUUGAAGUUAAUGUUUUCCUUAGUCAACAUACUAGGAAGUAGCAGGAAAUACUUAGCUGCAGGGAAGCUGAAGUACUGUAGUGACUCACUGCAGUGAGAUAUUUUCUCCCACUUGGUUUACUGUUUUCUCCUCACCUAAUCUCUAGAUAUUUUGUUGUAUGUAAAGUACAAUUAUAAUCUAGUUAAUUAGGUGUUUCUAAGAUAUUUUGUAGGUUAUAUUGCACCCUAUAUAAGGGUAAGUUUGUUGUGUAAUCCUUAAGAAUUCCAGAAGUAAGAAAUAGAAGCUACAAAGUUUUGCUUCAAAGUUCAACUGAGUUUUCUUCUGCCUCAUUUGCUACAGCAAAUUGAUCUUGAUCAUAUUUUGUUCAAAAUACAAAGUAGAAGCUCAAAUUCUAACUUUAGCUUCAUAUUUCGGGAUCAUGAGUUGCUUAUUGUUCUCAGUAGCUACAAACUGUAAUUUAUGUAAUCAUGUCAUAUGAUCAAAGUUUCAUUAUCAUUAAUUGCAAUACAAAUUGAUGAAGAUAGAGUUCAACUGAGAUUUCAUUGAACAAGAAAGAGAGAAAGCAAAAGACUAGAAAGAAAAAAAUAGCAGCUAACAAAAAGGGCGCAUUCCAAAAAACAAACUCCAGGACCUUCCGCACAAAAAUUGUCAUUCAUCUCCUUUGCAGCUCUCCAAUGGCAACCUUCCAACCUUCUCCUCUACAACUGGCGCUUCUGGAGUUGCCUCAUCAUCUGCAAGCUGUGCCGCUGCAGCUGCCUUCUUUGCCAUUUCUGCAGCUGCCUUCUUUGAGACUUUUGCAGCUGCCUUCUUUGCGACUUUUGUAGCUGCAGCUGCCUCCCUUGCAAGUUUUGCAUUUUUAUUUGUCUCCACUGUUCUCUUUGCGAGCUUUGCAUUUUCAGCUGCCUCCUUUGCGAGCACUGCAGCUUCAGCUGCCUCCUUUGCAAAUUGUGCAGCUGUAACCGCCUCCUUUGUGGCCACAGCAGCUGUAGCCGCCUGCUUUGCGCGCUGUGCAGCUUCAACCGUCUCCUCUAUAAACUGUUGAGCUGCAGCUGCCUCCUCUGCAGCUACAAACUGUGAAUCUGCUGCCUCCUGCAAAAAUUCAUUAUGAAACAAAACCUAAUCAUCAUGAUCAGGUAAAUCGGAAAUCCUCAAAGCCACUCAUAAAAAAAUUCUAUAGCUUGCAUAGUUAAUUUUAAAUUUAUUUGAUACAUGGUACACAUCAUUUUUUUUUGUUUUUUUGUUUUUUUUUUUUAAUAAAAGAAAGAUACAAGCCAUUCAUCAGAAAUCUUUCCUCACUAAAGUCACUAGCCAGUAGUCCAGUACUCAUCAACUCUGUAUACCAUCAAGUAUAUAUAGACCCAAACGAACCUCUCAGACAAGAAUAAACAAUCCAACAAGAGCAGAAGGUAAAGAACAAUGAUGCAAUUCAAAACUUGUCAUGAAUACACAGAUAUAUUCAUGAUAAGUCAGUCAAGCAGGAUCUCACCUCUAACAUACGAUUAUAAAUCGCGUUCCUGAGCUUGAGUGGUGUAAGUAUGCCCGCUUCUAAUUGCUCCGUUAUCCUCUGCAACGACUUUAACUUUCCUGCAAACUCAAUAUAGUGGUCGUAUAAAUCCGUAGCAUAAAGAUCGGCAUGGCUGCAAGUUAACAGUUUAGAUUAUUAAUUCCACUUUGUGAAGUUCCCGAACAAAAAUGAAGAACAUAUAUGAGUAAGGUGAUGAGUAGAGUAGUCUUACUAGAUUAUAUUCCGCUUCAUCUUCCGAACUUUCAUCUCAAUGGCGCGCUGGAAAGAAAUAGAUAAUUGUUAUUGAUUAAUCUAAAUGUAAGUUUGUAACUAAAUGCAUAGAUGAAUGAAUAGAGUGAAAAGCCGUUGAUACGUACAUUCUUAGGAUCUUCGAAUGCCCAAAAAUAAUUCGCUCUGCGUCUGAGUUUUCUUGGAAGAAAAAACUGCCCUUUUAGGGCUGCAAUCGGGACCCGAUCCUCCAUCGCUGAUCUCAACCUCAAAUUUGAUGGAGUCUCUUUAGAGAUUUUGAGCAAUUAUUCUAUCUAUUUGGAAUCUAAGAGGUUCUUGAAUUAAAAUUUAUGGUGAUGAGAUUUUUGGUGACUAUUGUUACAUUUCCUUGCUAAAUUUGUGGCCGAGAGAUGGAGGGGAGAGACAUUAGGGUUCUUGAAGAGAUCAGCGGGUUGUGUGAAUUGUGAAGCGCGAUUAUAAAAGAGAUUUUUGAAACUCAUUAUAAGUUGGUGAAGAGAAUGAUCAAAAGAAUUUUCCAAAAGUAUACUUCCACAAUGUCCGUCGUGCAAUAUCUUUUUGAAAUUAAUUCGAGAUCAUUUUUCUUCUUGAAGAUAUCAGCUUGAUUUGACAAACUUCGAAAAGAAAUCAGUUUGAUGGAUUUCGAAAAGAGUAUCCAUCAAAUUAUCAAUUUCCAGUUAAUAAACUGAUUUCCAGUCUUAUGGAUUUGAUGGAUUCCCGUCAAUCUCGAAUUAAUUAUGAUCAAACCUAUGGGUGCUUCUAGCCGGAUACGAAUCUGCUGUGCCUAAAAAGUUGUGCCCACUAUGUGCCACGACUACUACCGCGACACCUAUCAUCUCACUUGACAGAGAUAUAACGCUGUUAACACAUAUUUUUUGUAAUUUAUAACUAAAUUGAUAAAUCAAUAUUUGUAAGUACUGGGUUUUUUUUUAGUUGCGGCUCGCUCCUGGAGUCCUGGUUUUUCUCGAUAACAACUUCGGAUCAUGAUCUUCAUAAAAAAGGAAAACUGAUCGCUUUUUUCAUAUAUAAGAAAAACUUGAAGGCUUCAAUCAUCGUUUAUCAAGAAAUCCUUAUGGCUGAUUAGUAAGAUUGAUGAAAGAAAAUUGCAAUGAGGUGGCUCAAAACACAAAAGGCAUAGGAGAUGCUUGAAAGAGUGGUGGACUGGAGUAUUUGAACGGAGCAGACGGUGGUGGGCGGUGGAGGUUUCCGGCAUGGAAAAUCAAACCCAAACAAUCCAAACAAGAUUUGAUCACCUCAAUCAUUCCUCCCCAUGAAUCAACCCCUACUUUCAGCACCUAUAUGGGAAAGGAAGAAAGAAUUAAGGGAAGGGGAUAGAUGAUGGUUUUAUUUUUUGGGUUUGUUUGAUUGUAGAUUUGGGAAACAGAAGAUGAAGCGAUUUAUUCAAUAAAAAACUUUUCUCAGUCAAUUUAAUUUAUAAUACAAAAUAAUAAAAAGUAAUAGAUUUAACACAGUUAAUUUUCUGUUAAGUGAGAGGACACGUGUUGCAGCAGUAUUCGUGGUACAUAGUGGGUACAGGGUUUUUGGGCACAGCAGAUGUGCUUCCCUUCUAGCCUACAAUAAGUCUUUUUUGGAUAUUAGUUCUUUUUUAAUUUAGUUUUUUAUUAUGGUUUUAAGUUGUAUCGGUGUUUUGCUCCCGAUUGACUAACCGUUGGACUUGUAUUGGAGUUUAACUCCCGCUUAUCUCAUUGGUCGAUAUCGAUAUUGGCGUUUCACCAAAUGAUCGAAAUAUCACUAUAAAAAAAAACAUAAUACGAUCAAACCCAUCACGUUUUUAGUUUUAAAUUUUUAAUCAAUCCCUCUUCUUACUCUCAAUUUUUGUAAAGUAAGGUUUGUGGAAGCGAUUAGUAAAAACAAUUUUUCCUUUUAAGCUAGAGAAAAGAUAAUUAUAAAUAGAACAAGAAAAGGAGGGAGGUGAUAGCAGCAUACUCUCUCCCCCUUUGUAUCACCAACAGUCAAGGAUACAGUCAACAUGUCCGGCGGGCCUUCUGAUGGUAACGAAUCCCUCUUUUACUGUUGUUUUUAUGUGUUUCUCAUGCUGAAAUUCGAUCGAGUUGUUUGAUAAUGCUUUGGGUUAAUUUAUGACUACAGUUGGGAAGAUAGAGAAUAAUCCAGACUCCUUUAAGGUUAGUACUUCACUUUCCUCGGCAACCAAGAGACUCUUGUUUCGGUUUUAACUGUUGCUCUUCAAAUUUUAUUGUUGAUCUAAUUUUUCCUUGGUCAGUUUUACGGUCGGCGCUCCUAUGCCUUCGAGACUCUUGACAAGGAGAACAGAGAGCGCAUUGAUAACCUUAGAAAGAUUCAGGUAUGGAGCUUGUAGUUUAUAGUUGAUUUGUUUCAUUCACUCAACAUGACAUACUGUUGUUUCUCUAUGCAGAGAGACCUUGAUGAAAUAAAGGCAGGGUUUCACAAAGAGAGAUCAAAACUUGAAGCCAGCUUUCUGGACUCUUGUGAACCUCUGUACCUCCAGGUAUGGCUUCUUAAUUGACUGCCAAUAGAUUGAUAUAGCCAAUUGAAUGUCAUCUAUAUGGAUUAGUUAUUUAAUAAAUUUUGCAGAGAUACAAUAUUGUGAAUGGUGUGGUCAAAAAUACUGGAAUUACUACUGAUGUUGUGGAUCGAGAGGAAAAUGCUGCAGGAGCUACAUCAGUGAACCAAACCAAAAAAAGGAAAAAGGUACAUCCUUUACAUUGGUCAUGUCUUAUAAGAAUUUGUUAUGAUUAUUAAUUAUGUGUUUUUGCAGGGAAAGGGGUGCCUAGUUUCUGGUCAUAUGCUCUGAAAGGCUGUGACGACGUAUAUGACAUGGUUGUUAUUGCAUAAUGUUUUUCAUGAAGUAUCUCAUCCUUAAAGUUUGUAGCUGUAACUCAGUUGUUUUUGUCUUGUCUCUUGGAAUCAGAUUACAGAACAAGAUGAAGGAGCUCUCAAACAUCUUACAGACAUCAAAUGGUCCAGGAUACAAAAAGGAUUCAGGCUUGAAUUCCAUUUCAGCACUAAUCCCUUCUUCGAAAACCCCGUCUUGACCAAGACGUAUCACAUGACUGAUGAAGAUGGAUUCUUUAUAGAAUGCGCAAUAGGGUAAGUAUCUUGUUUUAUCCAUUUGUUACAAGGAAGGCAUGUCUUUAUUUUUUUUGUCACCUGGUGCUUUGUAGGACAGAGAUUACAUGGUAUCCGGGAAAAUGCUUGACACAUAAGCUCAACAAGGAAUCUGGGAAGGGAUCAAAGAAAGCCGAGCCAAUGACUAUUAAGAGCUUCUUCGGCUUUUUCAGUCCACCUAACAUCCCAAAGAACCUGAAAGAUAAGAAAGAUCUUGUUGAGGUGAGUUUGUUGUCAGAUGGUCAUCUUUAGAUUUGUUUCCUUAUUUGAUUGUGUGUAUACACAUGCAAUUUCUUUAAUUAGUUUUUCCCAACAGGUCAUAAAUCUGAAAUACGAUAUGGAAAUGGAUCUUUUCUUGGGGUGAGCUCACAACUUGUGUUUUAGCCAUAGGCAGAACUUUGUUAUUAGUUACAGUUUGAUUGAGGUCUCAAUAUAGACAGGUUCUCUGAGCUUCGCUAUUGGUCGAUGUAUUUAUUCUAUUGAAGGUUGACCAUUCGAGAUCAUAUCAUCCCAUGCGCGGUUUCACGGUUUACAGGAGAGGCUGCACGGGAGGACAAGUUCAAAAUAUCUACGCAGCACUCCGAUUUCCUUGACAAUCUAGGAAAAAAUGUCAGAGAAUGUGUUGAAAGUCUUAGACCAAUCCAGGUACUAUUCUUCCUUGCUCUGUGAUUUGUAGUUGUUGUAUGUUAUUGCUGUAUGGGAAAUUGUAUUAUUCAGUUUGAUAUGUUUCCAUGCUUUAUUUUUGUCAGUUGCACUCCGAAUUAGUAAUCAGCAACUCGCUUAACAACUUUGUUUUAUUCAUUUGAUCCAUUUUAUUGAACAGAUAUAGGUCUUGUGAUGUGUUUAGUCACACUUAAGUUCUUGACGAUUCACCCCAUUAUUAUUCUAAGAUCAUUUUAUAAAAGUUUGCAGUUGACAUCACUUGAUCCUUUCUCAACUUGAAGGAAAAGUAUGAUGCAUUGAAAGCGGAGUAUGACAAGAACAGAGCCUCAAUUCAAGAAAAAUAUCAUAAAUCAUGUGAACUUUUGUAUCUACAGGUAUAUAGACAAUUUGUACAGUGUAUCAAUCUGUGUAUCAUCUCUCUAUCAUUUUUCCUGUUAGAUGACGUUUAGUCACUCCAAUUCACAGCGAUACGAUAUCAUAAAUGGUGAAGAAAAAAAUGAUCCCGAAGCAGAUGGAGUUGGUAGUGAUUAUGAAGAUGAAGCAUAUAUCUUUGGUACAUUUUUGAUACUUCUAUAUCUAUAAACUGUAGCAUUUUGUUAAUUAUUUCAUUACUGUUUAUUGUCCUAUUGUGUAUUUUGGCAGGAAAAGGGGUGCCUUACUUCUGGCUCAAUGCUUUGCAGAACAAUGACUAUAUAGAAAAUGAGGUAGGUGUUGGAUGCAUACUGUUUCUCAUUUCCAAUGUUUACUUAGUUAUGACUUGUGUAUUAAAUCCUUCUUUGUUUUCUCUCUUGUCUUCAAAAUUUAGAUUACUUAUCGUGACGAACAACCUCUAAAAUAUCUUACGAACAUCAAGUCUUCCCCCAUUGAUGACUCCGAGGGCUUCAAACUUGACUUCUACUUUAAAGCCAAUCCAUUCUUUGGAAAUCCUGUCUUGACCAAGACAUUCCUCAUGAGUGUUGAGAAUGAUAUAUCCCUAGUGAAAGAUAUAAAAGGGUGAGUUGGGUUUCUACCUUCUUCGAGGGCAUGUACUGAUGUCAAGUUGACAUGGUUUCUUGUAUAUAUCGACUACAGUUUGACGGGCACCUAUUGUUUUGUAGGACUGAGAUUGAAUGGUAUCCGGAAAGAUGCUUGACAACAAUUCCGAUUAAGAAGAAACCUAAGUCACGAUUAGAGGAUGCGAAGGCGAUCACUGUAACUGAAGAUUGUGACAGUUUCUUCUCUUUUUUUAGUGCACUUGAAAUAGUAGAUGAUGUAAGCUGGUUAUGCAUUCUCUGAAACUUGUAGUUUAGAAUUCGACUUGUCUCUAAUGUCUUAUUUUCUUCUCUUUCUUAACAGCCCUUUAAGCACGCAGAUCAGGUGGAACAUGAUUUUCUUAUUGGGUGAGUUCAUUAUCUUGUUAUCUGGCUCACUAUCUUAAAGUGUAUGAUCGUUUUACUUCUUUCUUAAUUCAGCUAUUGAUUGUUGGAUACUUGUUAACUUUCAGUACUUUACUGAUAUUGAUUUUGUGUAGGUCAAUUAUCCGAGAUCAGAUUAUUCCCCAUGCAGUUUCUUGGUUUACAGGGGAGGCUAUUGAAAGAGAUGACUUGCAAGACGACGCAGAUGAAGACCAGUACCUUGGAUUUGAAGCAGAAUAUGAUGAUGAUCACGAAGAUGGCGAUGAUGAUUACGAAGACCUUGACGAUGGAUUAGGCUCUGAUGAAGACGACUCUGACCAGGAAUACAUUGAUGAUUACAAUAGAAGAUACAAUUAUUAUUAAGUCAAAGAUGAAACCGAACAAAGUUAAAGAUUUUGAAACCCAGAAUAUGCAUGAAAUAUGGCUAGUAGCUUCUUGGCAGUUAUAGAAUGUUUUGAGGUGCCCAUAUGUAUCAUGACUACAUUACAUUUCCUUAUUUGACAGUUUUAGAAUGUAUUGAGGUGCCCAUAUGUUUUGGUACAAGGGUUGGUGAAUCUGCUAGCUUCAUAUUUUGGGAUCAUGAGUUGCUUAUUGUUCUGAGUAGGUACAAACAGUAAUUAAUGUCAUAUGAUCAAAGUUUCAUAUCAUUGAUUCCAAUUAAUAGAAAUUGAUGAAGAAUUGAAGAUGUUCAACUAGGUUUCAUUGAACAAGAAAGAGAGAAAACAAAAGAUUAAAAAGAAAAAAUUGCAGCUAACAAAAAGGAAGCAUUCCGGACAACAAACUCUAGUCCAGUGACAACCUUCCAAGCCUUUCCUCUACAACUGGCUCCUCUGGAGUUGCUUCUUCAUCUGCAAGCUUUGCGGCUGCAGCUGCCUUCUUUGCCAUUUCUGCAGCUGCCUUCUUUGCGACUUUUGCAGCUGCAGCUGCCUCCCUUGCAAGUUUUGCAUUUUUAUAUGUCUCCACUGUUCUCUUUGCGAGCUUUGCAUUUUCAGCAGCCUCCUUUGCGAGCUCUGCAGCUUCAGCUGCCUCCUUUGCAAAUUGUGCAGCUGUAACCGCCUCCUUUGCGGCCACUGCAGCUGCAGAUGCCUGCUUUGCGCGCUGUGCAGCUUCAACCGUCUCCUCUAUAAACUGUUGAGCUGCUGCCGUCUCCUCUGCAGCUAUAAACUGUUCAUCUGCUGCCUCCUGCAAAAUUCAUCAUGAUAAUAUAAAAGCCACUAAUAAUCAUUAUGAUCUAUCAUAAAAUUUGUCAUGUAUACAGAUUUUAUGGCGUCAACUUCAAGUGAUCAGUUCAUUCUCACCUGUAUCAUACGAUUAUAAAUCGCAUUCCUGAGCUUUUUUAUCACACCAACUUUAUCUUUGUCUACUAUAAAUUCCCUCUCGAGUUUAUAUUGUUCCGUAGCACAGAUGGUAGCACGGCUGAUGGAUUGUAAUAUAUUAGAUCAUCCAUAAUUGUUAAAAUACCAUACAUAAAAUUAGAAGAAGAAAAAACGAAAACAUAGAUAUGAAUAGUCUUACUAAAUUAUAUUCCGUUUCAUCUGCCGAACUUUCACUUCAAUUGCGGGCUGAUAUCAAACAGAAAUUUGUUGUUAACUGAUCUGAUUAUACAGACGACUAAAAAGAUGAUAACGAUUUGUGGUGAAAGAUAUAGCAAAGCAAUAUAAGAUAUGUAGAAAGAAGAACAGUUGGAAAAAUAUAUCUAUAUACGUAAGUGAAAAGCAGUAGGUACGUACAUUCGUAGGUUCCUUGAAUGCCCAAAAGUGAUUCAUUCUACGUCUGAGUUUUCUCGGAAGAAAAAGCUGUGAUUUAAAGACUAUGAUUGGUUCUUGAUCCUCCAUCGCUGAUCUUAUAAUCCUCAAAUUUGAUGGAGUUACUGAAGAAAAUUUCAGCGAUUUCUCAAAUAGAUAGAAGUUUUAUAGGGUUCUUGAGUCAAUGAUAAAUUGGUACUGAGAUUUUGGUGACUAAGGAUGCUAUAACUGUGACGGAGAGAGGGAGGAAGAUAUCUUGAAAGGAAAAGAGAAAUCUAAACGUUCUAAAAUGUCUUAACUGAUCAGUUAUGAAGAGAAAAAUCAUGAAUCAAAUUUCCAAAAGUGAAAGUUCCACAUCAGAAUUGAUAGCAAUAUUUUUUUGUAACCAAUUUGAUUAUUUUCUUUUUGAGUUACCAAAUAGUCGCAUGAUCAGUCCCAUAAUUUAAGUAGUUAACUUUUAUCCUCCAAUAUUAUCAUUUUUUAGUUUGAAAAUUUGAGAGCUAUUCUUCAUCUUGAUCAGUAACCCUAGUACUAUGAUCCCUGAUCCCUUUAUUCCCUUCCCACAUAAUCACCACCACUCACCAGUCAACCCUAAAGUGAACAUGUCCGGCGGGUCUUCUAUUGGUAAUAAUCCCUCCUACUAUUUUCAUGCAUUUCUGAUGCUGUAUUUUGAUCUAGUUAUUGAUAGUGUUUUGGUUUUAUGAUUACACAGUUGGGAAGGGACAUAAUCAUCCUGACGCCAUUAAGGUUAAUAUUUCAUGUUUCUCAGCAACCAAGAGCUCUUGUUCUGAUUUUAACUAUGGAUCGUAAUUUUACUUUUAUUCUAAUUUUUUUUUAUCUCUCUCCUUAAUGUAGUUUUUCGGUCGGCGCUCUUAUACCCUCGAGACUCUGUAUGUGAGGGAGCACAUUGACAAACUUAGGAAGAUCCAGGUAUAGUGUUGCCCACCCCAAAAACUUGUAUGUUGUUAAAUUUGUUUCAUUCACUCAACAUUACAUACUGUAAUUUCACUUGCAGAAAGAUCUUGAUGAAACCGAGGUAAAGUUUUACGACGAGCGAGGAAAACUUGAAGUCGAGAUGGCCGAGUCUUGUGAACCUCUUUAUCUCCAGGUAUGGAUCUUGCUGGUUCACAUUUUACCCCAUUUGUUAAUAGUCAUAGAUAGUCUAUUGUAUUUGUAUGCCAUAUGUAUUGAACUUUUUUUUUAUUUUAAUAAAUUUUGCAGCGAUAUGAUAUUGUGAAUGGUGUGGUUAAGGAUGUUACAAAUCAAGAGGACAAGAUGAAGAGAGGGGUGCCUAAUUUCUGGUUGUAUGCUUUAAAAGGGCAUGACUUGUUAGCUGCUCAGGUUGUUGUUUGUGCAUAGAGUUUUUCAUCAGGUUUCUUAUCCUCCAUGUUUGUGCAUAAAUUUGUAGUUGUUGAAUCUUAAUUGUUUUUACCGUAUCUCCUGGUAUCAGAUUACAGUUCAAGAUGAAGAAGCUCUCAAACAUCUCACAGACAUCAAAUGGUCCAGGAUACAGAAAGGGUUUAUACUUGAAUUCCAUUUUAACACCAACCCCUUCUUUGAAAACCCUGUAUUGGCCAAGACAUAUCACAUGAAUGAUGAAGACGAAUUCUUUCUAGAAUCUUCAAUAGGGUAAGCUUUUUUGUUUUCUUGUUUUAUAAGUUACAAGGAAGGCAGGUAUUUGUGUUUACUUGACUUCAAUUUGUUUGUUCUCUUGUUUCUAUGUAGGACAAAGAUUACAUGGCGUCCGGGAAAGUGCUUGACACAGAAGCCUUCUACUAAUAAAAGCUUCUUUGGCCUUUUCAGUCCGCCUGAAAUCCCAAUGAACCUGAAAGAUACGAAAAAUACUGUUGUGGUGAGGUUUUUAUAACAUGAUCAUCAUCUUUAAUUUUCUUUCCUUAUUUGACUGUGUAUGCAAUCUUAUAUUUUGUCUUUCUCAACAGGUCACAAAUCUGAAAUAUGAGAUGGAAAAUGAUUGUUUCUUGGGGUGAGCUCGUAGCUUAUGUUUUCCCAUGAUGUUUGAACUUUGUUAGCAGCUACGGUUUGAUUGAGGUCUCUGAACUUAGUUAUUUUGCUCGACACGUUUUUAUUCUUGUCUAGGUCGAUCAUUCGAGAUGAGAUCAUCCCACGUGCUAUUUCAUGGUUUACUGGGGAGGCUGGACUGGAGCAGAAGACCCAAAUAUCAGCUCAGCGCUCCAAUUUCCUCAAGAAUCUAUCCGAAGAUGUCAAGGAGUGUGUUGAGAGUCUAAGAUCGAUCCAGGUACUAUUGUACUCUGACACUAGCUUAUAGUUGUAUUGCUAUAUGGGAUAAGUUCCCCUCCAAAUUAGAAAAUCACUACGUUAUGUUUUCUGUUAAUUGCAACUCCAUUCACAGCUUGUGGUGUGUUUACUUCCAACUUGAGCAUUUUACAAAAGUUUGCAUUUGACAUACCUUGAUGGUUUCUCACCUUGAAGGAAACAUAUGAUGCAUUCAAAGCAAAGUUCGACAAGGAUAGAGCAUCAAUUCAAGCAGAAUAUUGUCAGUCGUGUCAACCUUUGUAUGUAGAGGUAUAUAGACAAUUUAUACAAUGUAUCAGUCUUUGUGUCAUGCUUCUAUCUCUUUGUGUUUCAAAUAUGAAGUUAAUAAACUUAAAUGCCACUCCACUUUGCAGCGAUACAAAAUUAUAAAUGAUGAAGCAUAUGAAGAGAGCAUUGAUCAUGAAGCAUAAGGAGAAAGUAUUGAUCAUGAAACAGAUGAAGCUAGUAGUGACUCUGAAGAGAAAGCAUUAUUGGCCUAUGGUACACUUUUGAUAGUUACAUAUGUAUAUAUCCUUAACUUCUACAAUAUGCUAUUGUUUCAUGAGUAUUUAUUAUCCUGUUAUGUUUUUUGGCAGAGAAAGAGGUGCAUAACUUCUGGCUGUAUGCAUUGCAAAAUAAUGACUAUAUAGACGACGAGGUGGGUGUUGUUCGUGCAUAAUGUUUCUCAUUUACAAUGUUUACAUAGUCGUAAGUUGUGUAUAAAAUUCUUCAUUGUUGUCUCUCUUGUGUAUAGAUUACUUAUCGUGAUGAACUAGCUCUGGAAUUUCUUAAAGACAUCAGGUGUUCUCCCAUAGAUUGCUUCAAAGGCUUCAAGCUUGACUUCUACUUUAGAGCCAAUCCUUUUUUUGAAAACUCUGUCUUGACCAAGACAUAUUUCAUGAGUGAUGAGGAUAGAUCCAUUGUGAAAGAUAUAACCGGGUGAGUUAGGUUUCUACCUCCUACCUUGUGCUAAGGCAUCUGCAGCUGACUAGUUGCUUGUAUAUAUCGAUUAUAAUUUGACGGGUACCUGGGUUUUGUAGGACUAAGAUUAAUUGGUAUCCGACUAGAUGCUUGACACAGAUACCUAUCAGGAAGAAACCUGAGACAGGAUCAGAGUAUGCGAGGUCAAUCACUACAUUUGAAGAUUAUGACAGUUUCUUCUCAUUUUUCAAUGCACUUGAAGUAGAUGAUGUAAGUCCCUUAUUCACAUGGUCUUAAGCUCUUAGUUUAGUAUUUGAACUUUUUCCUGGUAUCUUAUUUGUUUAUCUUUCUUAACAGAUCGAUAAACGUAUAGAACAGAUGCAACAUGAUUUUUCUAUUGGGUGAGUUCAUUAUCUCCUCGUUAAGACGACGCUUGCACUACUACACACAUAGUCAUCUAUAGCGUUUGAAAAACGUCAUGGAAUGUAUUUCAUGGCGUUUUUCAGCUCCAUCCCUUAACGCCGUUUAAAGUGAUGUCAUAAUAGCUUUUAAUGGCAUUUUGCUCAAAAACGUCAUAAUUAAAAUGUCAUUAAAGGGUAUAUGUGUAGUAGUGUUGUCAACUGGCAUCUUAUAAAUUUUCUUUCUCAAUUCGGCUAUUGAUUAUUUGUUGCUUCUAAACUUUUUGUUCUUUCUUUUUCAUGUAGGUCAAUUAUUCGUCAUCAGAUCAUCCCCCAUGCAGUUUCAUGGUUUACAGGAGAGGCUAUUGAGAAAGAUGUGUGUUCAGAUGAUGAAGACCAGUACCUUGGACUUGAAUAUAAAUUUGAAGAUAUAGACGAAGGUCAAGAUGCUUAUGAAGACCUUGACGAUGGAUUAGAAUAUGACUAUGAACAUGAGAUAGAAA
rnacentral:lncRNA from 1 species